UGAGACACGGCCCAGACUCCUACGGGAGGCAGCAGUGGGGAAUAUUGCACAAUGGGCGCAAGCCUGAUGCAGCGACGCCGCGUGAGGGAUGACGGCCUUCGGGUUGUAAACCUCUUUCAGCUCCGACGAAGCGCAAGUGACGGUAGGAGCAGAAGAAGCACCGGCCAACUACGUGCCAGCAGCCGCGGUAAUACGUAGGGUGCAAGCGUUGUCCGGAAUUACUGGGCGUAAAGAGCUCGUAGGCGGUUUGUCGCGUCGUCUGUGAAAUUCUGCAGCUUAACUGCAGGCGUGCAGGCGAUACGGGCAGACUUGAGUACUACAGGGGAGACUGGAAUUCCUGGUGUAGCGGUGAAAUGCGCAGAUAUCAGGAGGAACACCGGUGGCGAAGGCGGGUCUCUGGGUAGUAACUGACGCUGAGGAGCGAAAGCGUGGGUAGCGAACAGGAUUAGAUACCCUGGUAGUCCACGCCGUAAACGGUGGGUACUAGGUGUGGGUUUCAUUUCACGGAAUCCGUGCCGUAGCUAACGCAUUAAGUACCCCGCCUGGGGAGUACGGCCGCAAGGCUAAAACUCAAAGGAAUUGACGGGGGCCCGCACAAGCGGCGGAGCAUGUGGAUUAAUUCGAUGCAACGCGAAGAACCUUACCUGGGUUUGACAUACACCAGACGCAGUCAGAGAUGGCUGUUCCCUUGUGGCUGGUGUACAGGUGGUGCAUGGCUGUCGUCAGCUCGUGUCGUGAGAUGUUGGGUUAAGUCCCGCAACGAGCGCAACCCUUGUCCUGUAUUGCCAGCGGGUUAUGCCGGGGACUUGCAGGAGACUGCCGGGGUCAACUCGGAGGAAGGUGGGGAUGACGUCAAGUCAUCAUGCCCCUUAUGUCCAGGGCUUCACACAUGCUACAAUGGCUGGUACAGAGGGCUGCGAGACCGUGAGGUGGAGCGAAUCCCUUAAAGCCAGUCUCAGUUCGGAUUGGGGUCUGCAACUCGACCCCAUGAAGUCGGAGUCGCUAGUAAUCGCAGAUCAGCAACGCUGCGGUGAAUACGUUCCCGGGCCUUGUACACACCGCCCGUCACGUCAUGAAAGUCGGUAACA
rnacentral:rRNA from 1 species